rnacentral:rRNA from 1 species
CAUGCCGUAAACGAUGAGUGCUAAGUGUUAGGGGGUUUCCGCCCCUUAGUGCUGCAGCUAACGCAUUAAGCACUCCGCCUGGGGAGUACGACCGCAAGGUUGAAACUCAAAGGAAUUGACGGGGGCCCGCACAAGCGGUGGAGCAUGUGGUUUAAUUCGAAGCAACGCGAAGAACCUUACCUGGACUUGACAUCUCCUGAAUAGUGUAGAAAUACAUGAAGCCCUUCGGGGCAGGAAGACAGGUGG